UUCUGCCUAAAAUCACUAACCCAUCAAGGAUGACAGAGCUGAGGCCUAUCAGUCUCUGCUCAGUACAUUACAAGAUCAUCUCAAAAAUUCUUUGCAAUAGGCUGAAAAGAAUUCUACCAGAGAUUGUCUCAGACACGCAGGGUGCUUUCGUUAGUGGUCGCCUUAUAACUGACAAUAUCUUGGUGGCACAUGAGAUGGUACAUGCUUUAAGGACGAAGGAUGGCAUCGACUCAAACGUCAUGGCCAUUAAGACAGAUAUGUCUAAGGCAUAUGAUCGCGUAGAGUGGUGUUUUGUGGAGUGUCUACUAGAGAGGAUGGGCUUUGAUAGGAAGUGGGUAACAUGGAUCAGCGCCUGUAUUAGCUCUGUCACAUAUUCGGUGCUCUUAAAUGGUAGUCAACAUGGGUUUAUCAAACCGGAGAGAGGGCUCCGUCAAGGAGAUCCACUAUCUCCAUUUCUCUUCAUAUUAUGUGCGGAGGCUUUGGUGAGUACUCUGAAUCAAGCUGAGUCCUUGGGAAAGUUGAAUGGCAUCCGUUUAUCAAGAGAGGGUCCUGCAGUGCACCAUCUGCUGUUCGCCGAUGAUAGUUUGCUGUUAUGUAAAGCAACAGUGGAGGAAGAAGCAGAGUUAGUAAGGAGGCUGAAACUAUAUGGUGAUGCGUCAGGCCAAGUGAUAAACACCUCCAAGUCUUCGAUAAUCUUUGGCUCCAAAGUUCCAGCUAUGUUCCGUAAUCAAAUGAAAGAGGUGUUGAGUAUUGAUGCGGAGGGAGGUGAGGGUUUCUACCUGGGACUACCUGAAUGUUUCAGUGCAUCUAAGAGUAAGCUUCUAAAUUUUAUACACGAUAAAGUUCAGAAGAGACUCAGAGGAGGGGGUUCGAAAAUUUUAUCUCAAGGAGGAAAAGAGAUUAUUCUAAAAUCUGUGGGGAUGGCUCUGCCAGUCUUUGCAAUGAGCUGUUUCCGGUUACCUAAAGAUCUCUGCGCUAAACUAACGAGCAUUAUGACUGAAUUUUGGUGGGGAGGUGAUGCAGAGAAAAAGAAAAUUGCAUGGGUAGCUUGGAAGAAGCUAUGCAAACCUAAGGAACUCGGUGGCAUGGGUUUUAAGGAUAUUGCUUGGUUUAAUCAAGCCUUGUUAUGCAAGCAGGCAUGGAGAAUCUGGUCUAACCCGCAAUCCCUUCUAGCGAGAGUCAUGAAAAGCAGAUACUUUAAGCAAGGAAACUUCCUUGAGUGUUCUGUUGGAUAUAGACCAUCAUAUGCUUGGAGAAGCAUUAUGCAUGGUCGUGAGCUACUAUCACAAGGGCUGCUUAAAAGAAUUGGGAAUGGUAAGGAUACACAUGUUUGGUAUGAUAACUGGAUCCUUAUGCCUAUACCUAGACCUCCUAGAUAUAGAACAGAUGAAGUAGACCUUACGCUUAAAGUCUCAGACCUUAUUGAUGAGAGGCAUGGAACGUGGGAUGUUCAACGGGUACGUCAUCUGUUUGUAGGGGAAGAUGCCAAUCAGAUUCUGGAAAUGAGGCCACAACUUAACCGUCAUGAUACAAUGGUUUGGGGCUUCAGCAGGAGUGGUUUGUAUUAUUCUCAAAGCGGAUACAAGCUUCUGCACCUCCUACAAAUUGUUGGAAAUCCUCUAGCCGCACCCUCCUUGCCUCCUAUUGAGAAACGGCUCUGGUCUAAUUUAUGGAAAGUGAAGACGAUGCCUAAGAUCAGACACUUCCUGUGGAGAGCAUUAGCCGGUGCCUUAGCCGUAGCUGAAAGACUGAGAUCGCGAGGGAUCCCGGUGGAAACGACAUGUAAGUUAUGUCAUGCACAGCCUGAGACUAUUUGUCAUGUGCUCUUCCAUUGUCCGGUAGCGAAGGAGGUUUGGAGAUUAUCAGAGUUUCCUAUGCCAGCAGCUGGCUUCUCUACAAACUCGGUUUUCCUGAACUUUCAUCACCUGUUGGAGACAUGUAAGCGAAGUAGGUUGGAGGAGAGAACUCGCUUGGUAUUUCCAUGGAUUCUUUGGAACAUAUGGAAAUCUAGAAACAAAUUUGUCUUUCAACAAGUGAACGUAGAGGCAGAAGAGAUAUGGAGAAAAAGUCAGUUGGAGUUUGAAGCUUGGAAUGCAGCUAACGUGGGUGACAAGGAAGACAUUGAUGAGAAUGUGGGUGAAUCUGCUUUAGCUUGCUGGCGAAAACCAUAUCCAAGUUUCAUAAAAUGUAACGUUGGUUCGUCUUGGACAGAUGCAAACCAAAAUUGUGGGGUCGCUUGGCUGACACGGAAUCAUUUGGGUGUCUCGCUAAUCCACAGCCGUCGCUCAUACUCAAUGGUGGCAUCACAGCUAGAGGCUGAGUUGCUAAGUUUUCUGUGGGCCGCAGAGAGCCUAUCGACACUGCGACAUAAGAAUGUGGUGUUUGAAUCUUCAUCAUAUUUGGCGGGAGAAGCAUUUUGAAUCCUGAUAAUUUUCCUAUGUUUCAUGGGUUGAUUGACGUGAUAAGAGAGAAGCUGUCUAGGUUACAACUGUGGUCUAUAGCUUAUGUACACAGCAGAGCAAACCAAUGCGCGGAGGCCAUUGCUCGUAGUGUGACAAGGGAUCAGCGGUAUGCUUCGUAUGUGGGGAAAGAUGGACCUUCUUGGUUAUUGCCUAUGAUUCAUGCAGAUGCUGUUCGAGCGGACAAUGGAUACUAAGAAGGAUCUUGAGUCUUGUUUACGGCUCAUUUGAAGCAUUUCAUUAUCCUCUCAACGGUGAUGGAUGCAAACAAAGGAGAUAAUGUUGGUUUUUAGUAGUUUUUUAAUUUCUGGAGUUGGGGGCCCUGUUGGUUUCACCAUACUCUGUUUCUUUCAAGAUUGUUGCCCUGCUUUUUAUAAAUCGAUUACAAAGCGUUAAAAAAAAAAACUUGAACUCAUAUAGGACUCUUGGGUACUUGAUUAAUUUUAAUAAGAAAAUUGUAAUUUUUAUAUGUGAUGAUUGAGCUUAACAUAGUUGUGUGUCUGUGACUUGACGUAAAUUUAGGUUAUAAUUAUUAAUUAAUCAGAAUUGACAUAGUUAUCUUAUCUAUGACCUUGAUACUUAAUACUCCUACAUGUCAAUGAAAUUGAAAAAACGAAGAGCGGUUACACAAGUGCUUUGGAUAGUGUUCAAGAAAAUUCCAAAACAGCAAAAUCGUAAACAAGUAAGAAAAUAUGAAUUCAUUUGAUUUGACAGCUUAAAUUUCGAGUGAUGUCGUAAUGUAAAUUGGUACAGAUAAUCAUAGCAUGAUCUGAUAAAAUAUCAUUUCAUUAAUUAUUAAUUUAGUUUCUUAAUUUCGAUAAAUGGUUCAACUCCGUCGAUGUCUUGGUAUAUUAGAGACUGGUUUAAAGUGAACCGGCGAGAGAGUGUAUAUAAUGGUUUACCAUAUUAUUCCCUUUUUAUUCAGACACAGAUACGACGAGUCAGCCAGUUAUUAAUAGACACGUCACCACACCGGAGAAAAUAUCAGAGAGAUGAAGAAUAUUAGAGGAAUAACCGGGUCAAGGAUAAGAUAAUUACGUUUCCAAACAGACCCUACCGUGAUGCGGACCUUCAAGUAAACGCUUCUUCUUUACGAUAUAAUAAGUCCAUUAUUGAGAGUUUCGAUCGUCUCUCGAUCUUCUUCAACGCCUUCGAUUGUUUUCUUCUUCUGUCUCGCGAUCUAUGUUCAUGUAACAGCAAAACAUCGCGUUUGACUCGAGAAUCGUUUCCGGGAAGCCAUGUGUAGUAUCGAUGCCUUUAGAUUGAUUUUGACCUAAGACGUUACGAAGAACAAGCGAAGCUUUAUCAUAUUAUCAGAGAUUCGUUUUAUAUCUGUUACGAUUAUCUCUUUGUGGAUCAAU